rnacentral:rRNA from 1 species
ACAAGCGGUGGAGCAUGUGGUUAAUUCGAGGCAACGCGAAGAACCUUACCAGGUCUUGACAUCCCGACGCUAUUUCUAGAGAUAGAAAGUUACUUGGUACAUCGGUGACAGGUGGUGCAUGGUUGUCGUCAGCUCGUGUCGUGAGAUGUUGGGUUAAGUCCCGCAACGAGCGCAACCCCUAUUGUUAGUUGCCAUCAUUCAGUUGGGCACUCUAGCGAGACUGCCGGUAAUAAACCGGAGGAAGUGGGGAUGACGUCAAAUCAUCAUGCCCCUUAUGACCUGGGCUACACACGUGCUACAAUGGUUGGUACAACGAGUUGCGAGUCGGUGACGGCGAGCUAAUCUCUUAAAGCCAAUCUCAGUUCGGAUUGUAGGCUGCAACUCGCCUACAUGAAGUCGGAAUCGCUAGUAAUCGCGGAUCAGCACGCCGCGGUGAAUACGUUCCCGGGCCUU